UAUUGAUUUACUCAUAGACCUCCAAAUUUUGAGUUACAAUACAUGAAGAACUAUUAUAAAUUAGAGGUAACUUAUGCUUUAAUAAUACGUUAUGCCUUUUGAAGGUAAUCGUUAAAGCUACGGGUUUAAUAGAGAUAUUUGAAGUAUAUAUGGGGUGGGGAGAUUAAAUAUCAUAUCUCUAAUCCUCUUGAUUGUGGCGCACGAUCGUUGCGACAUGAUACUAUUUCAAUUGCGACGUAAAUGAUGUCCCCCUUUGAUAAUUCCCGCAUGUUCAUGACUAAUUUUUUCGGCUAAUAGCAUCCAUGAUUGGUAUAUAAAUGAUGUCCCCCUAAGAAAUUUCCAUAUGCUCAUGACUAAUUACCUCGGCGCAUAACAACCAUGAUUGGUAUAGAAAUCACGUUC
rnacentral:lncRNA from 1 species